rnacentral:rRNA from 1 species
UGCCAGACUCCGGGAGGCAGCAGUGGGGAAUAUUGCACAAUGGGGGAAACCCUGAUGCAGCGACGCCGCGUGAGUGAAGAAGUAUUUCGGUAUGUAAAGCUCUAUCAGCAGGGAAGAUAAUGACGGUACCUGACUAAGAAGCCCCGGCUAGCUACGUGCCAGCAGCCGCGGUAAUACGUAGGGGGCAAGCGUUAUCCGGAUUUACUGGGUGUAAAGGGAGCGUAGACGGCAGCACAAGUCUGGAGUGAAAUGCCGGGGCUUAACCCCGGAACUGCUUUGGAAACUGUGCAGCUAGAGUGCAGGAGAGGUAAGUGGAAUUCCUAGUGUAGCGGUGAAAUGCGUAGAUAUUAGGAGGAACACCAGUGGCGAAGGCGGCUUACUGGACUGUAACUGACGUUGAGGCUCGAAAGCGUGGGGAGCAAACAGGAUUAGAUACCCCAGUA